CAGUAGCCGCGGGAAUACGAAGGGGGCUAGCGUUGCUCGGAAUGACUGGGCGUAAAGGGCGCGUAGGCGGCGAUCAAAGUCAGGCGUGAAAUUCCUGGGCUCAACCUGGGGGCUGCGCUUGAUACUUGGUUGCUUGAGUGGGGAAGAGGGUCGUGGAAUUCCCAGUGUAGAGGUGAAAUUCGUAGAUAUUGGGAAGAACACCGGUGGCGAAGGCGGCGACCUGGUCCUUGACUGACGCUGAGGCGCGAAAGCGUGGGGAGCAAACAGGAUUAGAUACCCCGGUAGUCCCUGUCUCUUAUAC
rnacentral:rRNA from 1 species